rnacentral:lncRNA from 1 species
AUGGACUCAACUUUGCAACAAGAAAUGUAACAUUGGCUAACCUUCCUCCACCAUCAAGCAACACAAGUGCACUUCUUACCUCCCUUGCAACCAAGAAUUUGGAUCCCACCGACGUAGUUGCGCUCUCUGGUGGCCACACCAUUGGCCUUGGCCAUUGCACUUCCUUCACUGAUAGACUUUAUCCCACACAAGACCCUACAAUGGCCCAGACCUUUGCCAACAACCUUAGAGUCAUUUGUCCCGUUGCUAACUCUACUAACACAACUGUACUCGAUAUUCGAUCCCCUAACGUGUUCGAUAACAGGUACUACGUUGAUCUCAUGAACCGACAAGGCCUCUUCACGUCGGAUCAAGAUUUGUACACAGAUACAAGGACUCGGAGCAUUGUUACGAGCUUUGCUAUUAAUCAAACGUUGUUCUUUGAGAGGUUUGUGAUAUCCAUGAUAAAGAUGUCGCAGCUGAAUGUAACGACAGGGACGCAAGGUGAGAUUCGUGCUAAUUGCUCGGUUCGGAAUUCUGAUAAUCUAUCACUGUCUUCUAUUGUGAAAGAGGAAAAGGGGAGCUGGUCUGCAUUUUGAGGGUUGUUCUUGUUUACUUGUUGAAGUGCUCCUUUUAAGUGAAAACAUUUCAAGUACUUUGUGUUUUGUUGUCAUAGAAGAAUGCUUUUGGCAGAGAUGGAGACUGAAACAUAUAGUUUUAACUGUGUAAUAUAGUUAUGUUACUACCUACUAUAAUAUAGUAAAUAAAAGUUGAGCACUCUUUCUAUCAAAAUCUGCUUCGUCAGUUUGUCCUCCUUUAUCGUUUGACGAUACCUGCAAUAAAGGGUGUGAGGUAUUUUCCCGUACCCCUCCUAUGCUUAAGUACGGCCCAACAAUACAUCCGUCCAAGAGCAACAAUGCCAUUCUUAAAUAAAUGAUGGUCGAAUGUCAUAAAAUAUUGGACCUUCCUCUUUGGAAACCAAUUGAUUUUCGGAUGAUAUGCUAAAAGCCCGAAUAUGCAACAUCGAAUGAACUACUCAGUGCUACAUUUUGCAACCAAAAAAUGCAUACUAAUUUAGUACAUCUUGCAUUCUUUUCACGUAUUCUACUGAUCAAUGACCAAUGACCAAUGACCAAUUUGACAUGUUUUUAUCCAAGUCUCCUCUAAUCCAAAAUUUUUUUAAACUUCCUUCCCGUAAAAUGUCUCUAGUUAAUGUCUCAUUAGUUAGUCGAUCACAUUACUUUUCAAAGGAGAAAAAGCUUUACCGUGCCACACCAAACAAUAAAAUAGAUUAAAGAUUAAAAGAAAUUAUUAUUUGAGUAAUACUAUUUAACCUUACGGGUGCUUAGCACUAGUUUAUGUGAUGGUGUAGUAACUUUCUAUAGUCCAACAUAGUUAUUCUAUGUGGUUCUAGUGAUUAUACAAUAGACAAUGUGCAAGUGGGAGAGUAAGAUUAAGAGGUACUAAAGAGGAAUUGGAGAAAGGGUACACUAUAAGUCAUAUUACAAAACUAUUAAAGUAGUUUGAUGACUCCUAGAUACAUUAAAAGAACAUAUGAUAUAUUUAAUUAGUGAUAUACAUCUGAUUUGGGAAUAGGUACAUUAUAAGAAAAGAGCGAGGGUAUUAUAUUGAGAGGAUAUACUAAAUCAUAAGGAUAUUGCUACUUGUAUAUCUCGGUAGAUAGAAAGGAUUACAAAUGAAGUUUUCGGGAACAUUUUAGCUUUUGUUUUUUCUAAUUUCUAAUUCCCACAAAAUCCAGGUCAGUAAAUCGUGAUGUUCAAGUAGCAAAGUUCGAUUCAUUAUAUGCAUGUGAUAGAGAUAAUAGAAAAUAUACUUCUACAUAUAUCUAUUCUCUUAAUAAUUUUUGUAAUACUUGAAAAUCUCAACUAUAGAAAAUUGUUGCCUUGUCUUCAAUUGAGAUAUAGUAUAUUGAUGUUACUUGUGCAAUCAAAAAGGGUGUUUGGUUAAAGGGAUAGUUGCAUUAAUUUGGUUUUAUAGAUAAAGAAGUUCUUCUGUAUUCUGAAUGUCAACUUGCUAUAUAUUUAAUUAGUAGAAAUCAUGUUUUACAUAAUAGAUCUAAACAUGUUGAUAUUAGAUUUCAUUAUUAGAGAUGUUAUUUCACAAAUGAUUGUUAAAUUCGAAAAGAUUUCUCCUCAUUUAAUCCUGCAGAUAUUGAAGGAAGUAUUGUCUUUGAGUAAUAUAAAUUUUUGGAUUGCUCGAGUUAGUUCAAUAUUAAUUCUUGUUGAUCAUGAGCAAAUGAUGUUGACCAAGGCAGAAUCUAUUGCACUGUGAAUUGGAUCUAUUGUACCAAGGUUGAGAUUGUUGAGAUACGUUACAAUUGAUUAAUUGAUUUUGUGAACUAAACUUGCAUUUUCAAUUGAAGUUGUAGAUAUUGGAAACACACUUUUUCUAAAUAAAUGGAUGUGUUGUAAUGCUACCAUUUGUCACCUUCUCUACCGUUGGAUUUGGAGACGUUAUGGUGUUUCUAUUGUACUCAUCCUUUGGCUGAUUAAUUAGGGAAGUGAAAUCGAUUGGUUGCAUUAUGUUCUCUAGGAAAACUAAAUCUCUCUCUCUCUCUCAUAGUUUCAAAUAUUCUUCAUCUUCAUCUUUUGAAUUUUCUUCUUUUUGAGUAAUGAGUAUCAAUUUAAGGAAAGUUGGACAAAAUUAGUGAUUCCAGUUGCACGUUCUCGAUUUAAAUCGAGUGGACUUCGAUAUUUGAAAUGUAUUUUCACUAAGAAAUGUAUACUCUUAAACAAUAUUAUUCCUCAAGGGCCAUGGAUAAACGAAUGCUUUUCUCUCUUUAAUAGGUGCUAUAAACAUCAUAGUAUGGUGCUAAAUUAUAAGUCUAAAAAAUGUUAACCCGAUAACUUCUUCAUUGUUGUGCCAAUUCUAUCAAAUUUUCGAUUCUUCAUUUUGAGCUCCCAAUUGGGCUGGACUCUUCGACGAUGAGCUUGAUGAAAAUAACUGGGCCAAUCAUUAAUAUGGGCUAAGCUUGGGCCAGGCCAGGCUGACAGAUGUGGUCCUCUUUCUAUACCACUAUUUAGCCCCUGUUUUAAAAUUCAUUUUUUUUUCAAACUCUUUUUCAACCACAUUUUUUAUGAUCCACAACUUUUAUCAAAUUUUCAUCACGCAUUUCACCAAUUUCUAUCAAAAUCUACUAAAAAUUUGAUUUUUAUCCAUUAUUGGUUCUAGUAAAUGCAUCAAAUGCCCAUGUUGGUGUUUGAGUAUCAAUUAUUCUACAUUGUGAAUACACACCUAGUUUAAAUCAAUCUCCAUCAUUUUAUAAAAAAGACGACUAUUUUUUGUUUUUUUGAAUUUUCACCUUUAAAUGAAACUCAAACAUAUAUAAGACACUCAUGUAAUAAGACUUCGCUCUUAUCCCUUUAAUUAGGCUAUCAAUGUCAAUAAAGAAAGAAAACAAUGGACUACAAAAAUGGAAAUGAAAUAAUAAAGAGAGAAAAAAAAUCCAACCUCUUACCCCCACCACCCCAUUUCUUCUGUCGCCACUCACUCGCCCACAUACCCACCCUUGCCUUGUCCCACCCCAACUCUCUAAUUAUCUGACCAAUCAUAUGCUUUUCCCUUAUAUACACCACUUAUUUCUAUAAUUAUAAUUUACAUCGUUUAUAAACAACUUCAAAGGUGUGAAUGUUUGCUAAAGCUUAUGCUCUAACAUAAUUAUUAUAGCUACCAAAGUGAUAAAAUACUAGAAAUAACUAUUAACAUGAGGAUAAUUGAAUCUUUCUUUUUUAUAAGUUCUAUUGAGAUCGUAUCACAAUUAUGAUUUUUUCCUUAGUUGCACAAAUGGUUAAACUCAAUAAUUUUUCAUUUUUUUCCUUUGAACCUUAACAAAUCCAACUUGUUAUAUAAGAGGAAUUUUAUUUUUUAAAACCUAUAUAGUUUAGAUUUUUACGAAUAUAAAAAUUAAAAAUUAUAGAACUAAAUAAAUUUACUUCAUAAAUUACACAUGAACCAAAUUAAUUAUUUUAUAAUAAUAUUCAUUUUAAGAAGAGAAAAGUGAAAAAGCAUAAUAUGCGCGAACAUGUAUGGAUUCAUUUAUUCUAGUUGGAUUUUGCGGAAGGGGUGGAGAAUUUUGUUCAUUGGAGAAUUAGUUGAAGUUCUUGUUGAACAGUUCAUUUUUUGCCUUGAUGUGGAAUCUGUCUCCAAAUGGAAAGUUUUGAAAUUUGUUCAUUGCAUCGAAAUUUGAUUCAAAGUGAAAAUUUGUUAAAGUUUGACUUGAAUUCUAUUGGGUAUUUGUGGAUUUGAAGAGGUCGAAAUAUGGACCAAAAAGGAAAAGUCAGUGCAUUCCCGCUUGUUGUCCAUCAGGCUCCCGAUCAAGAGCUCAAAACAGGAGCGUUAGCUCUUGCUUGGCACUAGGCUAUUGCUCGAGUGGCAGGUCACCUCUCAUUUUAUCGUGAGCUCGGUGCUAUUCCAGCCUGUGAUCCGUUUCGCGUUUUGACCUUUUUUUUUCUUCCCCAUCUUCAGGGCUCUUAUUGGGAUUUGACAUGUACCCCUAUAUAUAAUUGGCUCUUCUUCAUAGUUAGAAUAAGUUAGACAAUAUAGAAAACCCAAUAUCUUUGUAUUAUUUCUUCAUAUUAUAGUGAAUUCUUAUUUCCUUUGCCGAUUUCUUGUCUUCUUCUUGUGUUGAUUGCUACUUCAUGUUUUGUCAUAUACUUCAUUAUUCUCUAAUAAGUGGUGUUAGCUCGCAUAACUAUUUGGUUAAAUUUGUUAAGAAAAAAUGUGAGUUGGAUUGAAAUAAUAAAUAAGCAAAUUUGUUUAUUAAGUGAAAAAAAAAAUUAGCCUAUAAAUAAAAAAGUGCAUGUAAGUAAAAAUUAUUUAUGACCGGAAAUUUUAUUUAAAAGUAAAAAAUUCACUUAUACAUAAAACAAUUACAAAAAUGUAAAAAUAACUAUUCAAAAGUUAAAAAAAAAAAAAAAAAACACUUGGAAGCAAAAAUAUUGCUCAUAAUUAAAAAUUUCCUUACGAGUUUAAAAGUAAAAACUCAUUUAUAGGUAAAAUAUUUAACUGAAAAGUAACUUAUAAGGCAAAAAAAUUUCGGAAAAAGUAAUAUAUUUAUUCAAUCGAGCAUGAAACAUGCCCUUAGUAUUACAAAUUUAGUAGUUGGUUUAUUCAAUGAUGGAUCACCUAUAUCCACCACCUACCCAACCACCCACCUGACUAGUUAUCAUAUAUAGAAUUCUAUAGAAUCAAUUUUGAUACGCUAUACAAAUUAAAAACAAUGCAUCCAUGACCUACUACUGGAAGUAUUGAGGUAUUCAUUUGCUACGAAAUUUUUUAUGUAUAAAGCAUUAUCUCAUUGCGUUCCUAGCUCGGCAAUAACAAUCACUCAUUAUUACUCAUAUCAGUCUCUCAAAGUGAAAAAAGAUUGGAAUAAAAAUAUGAUAAUGGAGUAAAGGAAUAGAGAGCUUUGCAUGAAAGCAGACCUUAUACCUAUCGUUGAUAAUCCCUAGUUCAAGUGCCAUUGAACUAUAAAAAACGACUAUCAUUUAAUAGUUUGAUGUCAAUCCGCGAUGGCAUGUGGCAUCAUUCAACUAUUAGUAUGUAUAUUUAUCAAGCUACAUUAUUUUAUUUAUUUUAAAAAUUCUCAAUUAUGUGUAUUUAACCGGGCCUAGAAGAGCAUUUUUUUACAUCGGACUUUUUGUUACUAGGGUUUAAUUAGAGGGUAGUCAUGUUUUGAUUUUCAUUGAAUAAAAAGAAAUUUAUUACAAAUUUAUCGAUCAUUUCUAGAUUUGUUUGAUAUUCACUUUCUUGAUGCUUGCUUCACACAAUUGAUUUUAUACGAUCUUGCAUUUUGAAUAGUUAUUAUUCAUUUUCUUGACGCUUGUAACUAACUUUGUAUGAUCUUGAUUUUUAACUUGUAUAAUCAUAGUUGACUGAGAAAAAAAUCGAUAAAGAAAUAUUGUUAGUAAUAACAAGCACUUUUUCUCGAAUCUUUUGUCCAAGAUUUUACCUUGGAAAAAUGAAAAAAGACCAAGACUACAUGGACAGAGAAAAUGCACAUAUGGAUUUUACAAAAUGCCACAUGGUAGCAUUUCAUUUGAUUUUGGACAAAAAAAUAUAUUUAAAACAGUCAAUCAAGUGCUGUCAUCUCAACACAUGUACAACUGUCUGUGAAUUUUCUUGUACAAGCAUCAUUGCUUAAAGAAAAAGGGAUUUCUAGUGAACAAGUACAAGACAUUUUCAUAUGCAUUGAUUAAUGGCGAGGGGAAUGGAGUGUGUUGACAUGUGUGACGCUCCGUGGACGGAGUUAAGGUCCCUCUUUUUUUCUUUUUUUUUUCUAAGCUAUUUUAGUACUAGAGACGUUCAACGUGGCUAAUAUAAAUGAAGAAAUUAAUUGCGUUUACUUUUAAAAUGAAAGAAACUUAAAUUGAAAUGUAUUUAAAUUUAAUUGUCGUGUCUUAUUGUCUUAAAUGACUUCUGAUUUAAAAUUUGUCUGUUUUUAAUGGUUGUACAUUUUCAUGUUGUUAACUUCUCAUGUUUUUGGAAAAAUUAGAACGGUCACAUUAUAGGGCCAUUUAAUUUUCCAUUUGAUCAUUUUUGUGGAGUAUACUCGUCAACAUUUUGCAUCUAUUUCCUUUCUAAAAUGUAUUUUCUGGUACCAAGAAAGUUCGAAUUAUAAAGUUUUUCAUUUGAUAAUCAAUUUAGUAGAAUAUACUCCUCAAAAUUAACAUAGAUUUCUUACCUAAAAUUUAUUUUCUUGUACCAAGAAAGUUUGAUUUUCAAAUUUGAAAGUUAUGUUUGAUGGUUCCUUUGUGAUGAUUCAAGUCCUUAGGAACGAAAUCGAUUCUAUCUCGAGAGACAAUUGUUCAAAACCUUCAGCACUAAGGUAGCAAAAUUUUCUGCAUGAACUCAAUCAUCUCAAAUUACAUUUUGUAAAAUUAUAUCUAGUUUGUGUUGUAAAUCCAACUUGCUAUAUAUAUUUGUUUGCAUAACUAAAUAUUACAAUAUAAAUUUAGCAUACCAUGAAGUAAAAAGUAAAAACCCUCAGUUGUACUCGUUCCACAUCGUGGUACCAACGUACAAUAAUUUGUCGAACCAUUCCAAAAUUAUUUAUAACUCUUUAACACCAAAAGAAGAAAAGACGUAAAUCAACGUGAUAUAACACUGAUUUUUGCAUCUUUUUCAUUGCAUAUGUUAUGCCUCAUAUCCGAAGCUCUCAGCGGCAACCACGUCAAAGCCAUGUGGGGACACUACACAAAAACAUCCAGCAGUCAACAAGGUCAAAAGUAAAGAAAGGAAAUAAGUUGCUCUCUAGCUGAAGCACUGUCUUCAUCCAAAGUCCUUUUGCCAAAGUACUUCCUCUUUUGGCCGAACUUCUACACAUUCGAAGCUCUUUUUCUUAAAGUUGAAGCGCUUGCUGCCUUUAAAGCGAGUCUGAAGAGUAUUUUUAGAAAUGAUUGAUGUAACGUUUGUAUUAAUGAAUAUCAGAAGUGUUAACAUAAGAUGGGCGGUUGAUCCCUUGUCAAUGUAAUUAUGGUAUAGCAAAGAGUGAUGUGAGGCUCCGGAUGCUACGAUGAUGCCACAUGCUUCUUAUCCAACGGUGACCAUGUCGGCCUCAACUCUAUAAAUAGCAGCUCUUGUUACAUGUAAAAGGAUUGGCAAAAAUAUAUACAAACUUCAUAUACUUGAUACCACUCUUGCAUUUCUCUCUUGUUUAUUUUGUAUUAAUCUGCUCAAGUUUGGAUUUAUCCUACAUUGGCGGAAGUGUACAAGAUUGGUUGUUUGUAUAUAAUCACCUUUAAUCAUAGUUGGCGCCCAAACAUUUUUUGUCUCGCGUUGUAGAGCAUCUCCCAGGUUCACUAUGGCUGUGCAACCCCGAUCGUAUCCCUGAUCAAAACGUGUCGAAAUUUACUUGCGUGGAGGUGAGUGGACUUGACAUCUGUUGUCCAUGUGACCAUUACAAAAAAUAUGGUCAACAGAUUGGUGUUGUCUGUAGAAAACCGACACAUUCGACUAUGAAAAUCAUGUGGAAGAAAGCCAGUUACUUGUGUUUAGGAAGAUUUCUUACCUUUGAAGAAAAUGAAGUGAUUUUGAACAAAGAAUCACCAAGUGCUCCCACAUUGAAAUCACCUUUUUGAAAACCCCGUGAAUUCCUUGAACAAAGAGAAGCAAAGCGCCGAGUCUAGAAAUUAAGAGACAUAACCAUGACUUCCACAGAUGAAGCGUUAGCGUCUCAGAGGACUAGGGAACACCCUGAAGAAGUGGAAUCCUCACAAGCUGCUCCAGCAACUUGCUGCCAAUUCCAUUAGCCCGAUAGAAGAUGUGAGUCGAGAGGUGGAUCUAGGAUAGCUGCUAGACUUAUCAGGGAAGUGGCCUCCAUGGCCACCAAUAUGAGAAACAUUACCCAACAAAACUUUUCCAUGCAAAAGUUGUUAAAGAACAUGCAAGGCUAGUGAUGAUUCCUAGUUCGUCCCUAUGCAAUUCAACAAAAUGCAUUUCAUGACCCCUUGUAAGGAAAUUACUACCACGGUGAAGAGGAUGUCCAAAGCCAAAUGGUUGGAUAUCAACAAUACACUAGGAAAGGAGCACUUUAGGACAUGGAAGUUGAGGUGGAUACCUCCACCAACUAUGCCACUGACCAACCCACCGAGGUCCUAUUCAACUUUCUUCCAAACUAUGAUCCGAAAUACAUGCUUCGAAGGUCAGUAAGUGUCUUUGAUAGAUUGAGCCUAGGAUAACCUAAAAAUAAGCAGGCUCACACUUCCUCUGCACCUAGAAAUGGGCAGUAGAGACCACUUCAAUUUGAAAGACAAAGCAAACCACUCGAUGAUGACAUGCCUCCAAAUUGUUCACGUAGAAAUAGGUAAGAGAGAAGAGCAGAAUAGGCAAGAAAUCGAGUGGGACCAUCUCAACCGCCUCAAGAAGCACAGGACAGAGAAGAUGAAGAUUCUGGCGAGCCACAAAGAUCCUUCGAUCUUGAUGAUGAUGAUGACAAUCUCUUUUUUUUUCAUAAGGGAUUAAGAAUGCUCCCGUCCUAAAUCACUUCACGCUCCCCAAAAUCCUUAAGUACGAUGGAAGAGGUGAUCCUGCAAAGCAUCUCAACAAAUUUAAAAUGCAUAUGAGUCACCCUCGCCAUGAAGUACAAAGCCUUCCACUUGACCUUGAGUAGAAUGGCUGAAGUAUGGUAUAUGAGUUCCUAGAGGGAAGUAUCUGAAACUAGCCAGAUUUUAGGAAAGCUUUCCUUAAGCACUUUGCUACCAGUAAAGAGGGUAAAAGACAAAUACAGAGCUUCCAAGACAUGAGGCAGCAACAGAGGAAGUCAUUGAAAAGUUUCGUGUCUCAUUUUAUUGAUGCGAUGAUCUACUGCGCGCAAGUCACAGAUAGGGAGACACUGAUGGCCCUAAGAGGAGGAUUAGAUAUGAACUCACUCUUUUGAAAAAAUGUGCAAAAUAAGGACCCUACCAGUUAUGAUGCCUUACUAGAAAUGAUAAAGAGUGAGAUUAUCAAUGAAGUAUUGAAAGAUCAUUGGAAUAGGGCAAAUUGCAGACUCCUACCUCCACAAAUGUAGAGAGAAAGAGGUUCCACCUCCCACUUGAUGGACCAUCAGGCAGAACGUAAAACCUCCAUCAAUUCGGGACAAGCAUUGGUCGCAACAACAUUUAACGUGGUGCCAACUUUGGCUUAUGGGGAAGUGAAUCCUACUGUGGAAAUAUACCAAGGUAGACCCUACCAAUGAUUCCUUCACACGGGGAGAGCUAGAGGACAAGGUAUUGAACCUAGAAAUAGGGACAAAGUACUCCUCUACUAUACAUAUCACCAUUCAUAUAGCCACCGCACUAUUAGUUGUAGGAACAUUGCAAAGCACCCUAACAAUCACAGAAGAAAUAGUUGCCCUCAAAGAGAUAGGCUUCCUACGUAAGGUCGACAACCUAGGAACAAUGAGAUGAGGCGCCCCAAUCAAGAUGAUGCUUCGCGAAAGCUAGACAAUGAUGGAGAAAGACAUAUAGAAGGUUAGAGAUGAACAAGGAGCCCCUCAGCCAACACUGGUUGAUAGGUCAUUCGAGAAAUUGGCAUCAUUUUUGGACGCCCCUAUGUUUGGGUAGAAUCUAGAAAUGCUCAAAGAAACUACGCAAGGGAAGCUAAAGAUCCCCAAUGGUGAGCUUCAUAGUCAAUAGCAGUUGGCCCUCUACUAAAAGAAGGUCCAACCAACCACAUUCACCUAAGAUGAUGUUGCUGGAGUACAUUACCCGCAUUGUGACGCCUUGGUGGUAAGAGCUAUUGUGGCCCAAAAUGGUCUCAAAAGAAUAUUAGUGGACAACGGAAGCUUGGUCAACAUCAUAUUUGGAGCCGCGUUUGAUAAAAUAGAAGCCGAUCAUAAGUUAACUCAUAUGAACUCCUUGUUCAGAUUCAUUGGCUAUAGCAUUGUCCCAAGAGAAAAAAUCACUUAGCAAUAGAGAGGGGAGGCUCCAUUCAGGGCUCACCAUUUUAUGAAAUUUUUGGUGGUAGACAAUCGCUCCACUUACCAUGGAGUACUUGCAAGGCUUGCCUUGGAAGAACCGUGGGCCGUCACAUCUAUCCACCGCCUAUGUAUAAUUUUCCAACAGAGAAUGAAAUUGCCAUAGUCAGGAGAAAUGCUAUACCAACUUUCUAAGAAAGGCUAAACCAAGGGCUAUUAACAUCAUUUUAAUGGACAUUGACGCAGAUGACAACCCUAAGCAAGGGAGAAACCCUGAACAAAGGGAUGACGUCGAAAUGAUAGAUGCCUUUGAAGAAGGGACAGUUUUCGAAGUACAAGGUGCCCCUGAAGAAGGGAGAGCCACUGAAUAAGUGGAUAACCUUGAUGAACUGGACCCCACAUAAUUGAUUACGAACCACAGACAGCUCUUGUUGAAGAAUUGGAGAGUUUUUACAGUGGAUGCCUAUGAUUCCUCCAAGUCUUUGCAGGUCGAAAAAAACUGUUUGCAAUAGCCAAAGGAAAAUUGAAACAUUUCUUAUGAGAUAAUUUGGAUGUCUUCACAUGGAAACAUGAGGACAUGAUUUGCGUUGAUCAGAAGGUCAAAUGCUUCUCUUCACAGGCAGAAAAGAAGAGCUUUUAACCCAGAAAGAUAUGAAAUCUUGAAAGAUGAGGUAAAGAAGCUGAUCGAAAAACUCUUCAUUCGAGAAUCAACGUAUCUGAAGUGGGUAUUAAACCCUGUCCUAGUAAAGAAGUAUAAUGGAAAAUGGAGGGUAUGUGUGGAUUUUUCCAAUCUAAACUAAGUUUGCUCUAAGGACAGCUUCCCACUUCCACGGAUAGGUCAACUCGUUGAUUCUACUUUGGGUACGAACAAUUGAGCUUCAAUUAGAUACCAAUUUUCUAGCAGAUGAUGAGCACACGUCCUUCAUAACAGACAGAGGGCUCUAUUACUAAAAAGUCACGCCCUUUGUGUUGAAGAAUGCAAGAGCUAUAUGUCAAAGACUAGUCAAUAAGAUGUUUGCAGACCUCAUUGAAAAAACAAGGGAAGUGUAGUGGAUGACAUGCUGGAAAAAAGUUUGAAAAUAAAUGACAACAUCAAGCACCUCGGCCAGGCCUUCCGAAUACUUUGAAGGUAUAGAAUGAGGCUGAAUCUUCUCAAAUGUGUUUUUGGAGUUGCCUUUGAAAAAUUUCUGCUCUACAUGGUCAAUCAAAGAGGUAUUGAGGCUAACCCUGAGAAGAUUAAAGCCUUGAUUGAAAUGAGAUCACCACAUAAGCCUAAGGAGGUACAGGGCCUAACUGGGCACAUAGCAGCCUUGAGUUGCUUCUUCUCAAAGACAAUGGACAAAUGUUUUCAUUUCUUUAACGUUUUGAAAAGAGGAAGCAAGUUCCAGUAGAUAGAGGAAUAUGAGUGGCCUUACAUGCCCUGAAGAAGCACUUGGGAUGGCUCUUAUCCUCUCAAAGCUCAAAAUUGAAGAGCCUCUACAACUAUACCUAGAAAUGACUACCAAGUCUAUUAGUCCGGUGCUUGUAUGGAUGAAGAGGGUCACCAACUACUUGUCUAUCAUGUGAAUAAAGAGCUACUUGUCGCAAAAACCCUCUAUCCUGACAUGGAAAAACUGGCUCUCUCUCUCAUAAUGGCUUUUCAAAAAUUAAGGUCGUACUUUCAAGUACAUACCAUACAAGUGCUAACCAACUACCUUCUCAAACAAGUGCUGCAGAAGCCCGAUGCUUCAGAAGGAUUACUUAAGUAGGUCUUAGAGCUCAGUGAAUUCGAUGUUAGCCGUUACUCUAUCCAAUUUAGGUAAGGUAGAAAAGUUUAAUUUUAAAGAAAUCACUCAAAUCCAUUUUACAAACAAUAAUCUUAAAUCAAUUUUUUUGUUUGAGUGAUAUGUGUCUGAUUUCGUUUAAAUUUAAUUUCUUCUACACCUUCUUGAAUUUUGAUUUUUGUUAGUUUAUCUUAUGUUUUGCGUAAACGGAAUUGAAUAUGGUUAAAAAUAUUGAUACUGCUUCGAAUGAUACUUCAAAUAUGGGAACUUUGGAAGUUUUUGUUCCUAACUUGGUUCCUAUAAUUGUAAUUCCUUAGGUUGCGAUUGGUAUUCCUACUGUUCAUACAUACUUUGUUCUAUAUGGAAAGAAAUCAGAGAAGUUUAGUGGGGUUGGUUUCAAGAAAUGGUGACAAAAUUGUUGUCCUAUCUCAAAACUCUAAUUUUGGAAAAAUUCUUGAAUGAAGAUGCUCCCGCCAUUAAAAAAGGGAAAUAAUAGGGCAUCGUUGAUAACAUUGGAUGUUUCGAAACAUUCAAAUUUCUUGUGCAAAAAUUACAUAUUGUAUGAGUUGGACAAUACAUUGUAUAAUGUGUAUAGUUCCAUGAAGUCUGCAAAGGAACUAUAUAAAUCUUUGGAGAUGAAAUACAAGACUAAAGAAGCUGGAACUAAGAAGUUCAUUGUGAAAAAGUUCUUGGACUACAAAAUGGUAGAUUUAAAGACGGUCAUCAAUCAAGUACAAGAAUUACAGGUUCUUCUCCAUGAUAUUCAUGUCGAGAAGAUGUCUCUUAGUGAAUCAUUUCAAGUGGUUGCAAUCAUUGAGAAGCUUCCUCUCAUGUGGAAGGAUUUCAAGAAUUAUCUCUAGUAUAAGGGCAAAGAGAUGAAUUUUGAAGAACUCAUUGUUUGGUUGAGAGUUGAAGAAGAUAAUCAAAAGUUGAACAAAUGUGUUGAAAGUCAUAUACCACAAGCAAAGACUUAAUGUGGUGAAAUCAAAUGACAAGAACAAAAAGAUGAAGCAUUCUAUCGAGCCUUUCAAGCAAGGAAGUACAAGCAAAGAAGUUCAAGGGUAGUCGCUAUAAUUAUGGAAAGGUCGGACAUCGCUUUAUAGAUUGUUGUAAACCUUAGAAGCAAGCCCAAGCAAAUAUCAUCAAUUCUAAUGCCAUAUCUGAUGGUAUAUUAGAUAUAAACUUAUCGACUAUUAUUUCAGAAUGCAACAAUGUUAGAAAUUCUAUGGAAUAGUGGAUGGAUACGGGUACAACCCGUCAUAUUUAUGCUGAUAAAGGAUGUUCUCAUCCCUACAUUCCAAUUGAUGGUGAGAAACUGUCCAUGGAAAGCUUUUGAGUUCAAAGGUUGAAGGAUAAGGCAAAGUGAUAUUGAAGAUGACAUCGGGCAAAGAACUUAACCUUAACAAUAUUCUUCAUGUGCCGAAUAUUUGCAAGAACUUAGUGUCGGGUUCUUUGUUAAGUAAGAAUAGCUUUAAAUUAGUCUUUGUAUCCAAUAGGUUUAUGCUUACCAAGAACAAUAUAUAUGUAAGCAAAGAAUAUGUAAAAGAUGGACUAUUUAAGAUGAAUGUCCAAACUAUUGUACCAAAAAACUCAAGGAAUAAAAUAUAUUUUACUGCUUAUAUUCUUGAAUCUUCUAAUUUAUGUAGAGGCUAAGUUAGCCAAAGUGUCAUUUUAUUCGAUUGAACGAAACACUACACCUUUCGAACUUAUUCACAUCGAUAUAUAUGAUUUAAGGUUUGUCCAAACAAAAAGGUGGUAAAAAGUAUUUCAUCACAUAGAUGAUUGUACAAGAUAUUGUUAUAUAUACUUAUUAAAAAGUAAAAAUGAAGCUUUGGAAGUGAUUAAGAACUAUAAAAAUGAAGUUGAAAAUUAACUUGGAAAAUGAAUAAAGGUAGUUUAUAGUGAUCAAGGUAAAGAAUAUGUUGCACUGUUUGAAGAAUUUUGUUCAGAAUAUGGAAUCAUACAUCAAACAAUGAAGUCAUACUCACCUCAAUCUAAGAGUGUUGCUAAAUGCAAAAACUGAAUACUUAAAGAAAUGAUGAAUGCAAUGCAGAUAAAUUCGGAUUUACCACAAAACUUUUGGGGGAAACUAUACUUUCCUUAAUAAAAUACUAUACAACAGUAAGGUUGAAAUAUCUUAUAAGUUAUGGAAAAGGACAAAAACCUUCCAAUAAACAUUUUAAAGUAUCGGGGGUAGUUUACCAAAGGUACAAGAACCUAUACCUAAAUAAGUAAAGAUUGGACCAAAGAAAAUAGAUUGUGUCUUUAUCGAAUAUUCAAACAAUAGUAGUGCAUAUCGAUUUUUGGUUCAUAAAUUAGAAAUACUUGAUGUACUUGUAGGUAUUAUCAUUGAAUCAAGGAAUGUAGCUUUCUUUGAAGAUAUCUUUCCAUAUAAAGAGAAAGAAAUUAGCUCACAUAAACUAACUUAUGAUACUACAAAUCAAGAAGACGGGAAUCGUGAAGUAAAUGAAGAACUAUGGCGCAGUAAAAGGCAAAGGAUUCAUAAGACACUUGGUCUAGAUUGUCUAACGUACUUAUUAGAAAAUGAUCCAAGGACAUUUAAUGAAGCAAUGUUCACUCUUGAAGAUAUUUUUUGGGAAAGAAGCAGUUAAUAAUGAAAUUGAACCCAUCAUGGAUAACAAUACUUGGGAAUUGGUUGAAUUCCCUCUGGGAAACAAAGCUUUAGGCUGCAAUGGAUCUUCAAAAAGAAAUUGAAAUUGGAUGGAUCAAUGACAAGUAUAAGACUAAAUUAGAAGCCAAAGGGUAUAGACAAAAGAAAUGACUAGAUUUCUUCGAUACCUAUCCACCUGUUACAAAGAUCACAUCUAUAAGUAUGUUGAUUACAAUCGCAACAUUGCACAUUUUUGAAACAUAUCUAAUGGAUGUUAAGAUCGCAUUUCUAAAUGGUGAAUUAGAAGAAAAAAUAUAUAUGGAACAACUUAUGGGUUUUGUUGUUCUGGAAAAGGAGAAAAGUGUGUGUAAGCUUGUAAUUGUUGUAUGAAUUAAAACAAGCACUUAAGCAAUGACAUGAAAAAUUUGACAAAACUAUGUUGUCAAAUGAUUCAAAAUUAAUACAUGCAAUAAAUGUGUUUAUAUAAAAAAAAAUAUCUAAUGAAUACAUAAUCGUAUGUCUAUAUGUUGAUGAUAUGCUAAUAAUGGAAAAUAACUCGAAUGUUAUUACUGCAACUAAGAAAAUGUUGAUAAAACAUUUUGACAUAAAAGAUAUGGAAGUUUCUGAAAUCAUAUUAGAGAUUAAAAUCUCUAAUACACUUGACGGUUUUUCAUUAUCUUAAUCACACUAUGUGAAGGCUAUAUUUAAGAAGUUUAAGACGUACAAUGAUAAACCGGUUAAGACACUAGUAAACUUAAGUUUAAAAUUAACCAAAAAUAUUGGUGAUCACAUAUCUCAAUUGGAAUAUUCAAGCAUUAUAGGUAGCUUUAUGUACAUUACCAACUACACGCGUCCGGAUAUAGUAUAUGCAGUCAACGAGUUGAGUAGAUUUACAAGCAAUCCAAGUAAUGACCAUUGGAAGACAAUAAAUCGAGUUCUUAAAUACUUAAGACACACAGUUGAUUAUGGAUUAUACUACUUGAAAUAUCCUGAAAUGUUAGAAGGAUAUAUCGAUACAAAUUGGAUAUUCAACCUAAAAGAUUUAAAGUACACAAGUGGUUAUGUGUUUACGAUUGAUGACGAGUGUGUUUUACUCAUGAGUUUAUGCAAAUUUUAACUUGAUUUUAAGCUAUAAUUCACAAGUAUAUAACGUUUUUAAUGAGUAUAUUAAUUUUGUUUUAUAGGUUUGUCAAGAUGGCGAAGGAUACAAAGAAAGAUCAUUAAAUUGAAGUUAUUGGUAUGUACGGAAGAGAAGUUGUAACACAGGGGCGAAAUAGACAAAGCAAAGAUGAGACGAACCGCACCAGAAUGCAAAAAAUCAAGAAGAACCAGAGUGUGGGCGCUGGAAAAAAGUGGUGCUGUGGUGCCACACCCUUGGCGCUGCAGUGCCACCUAUCAAUUAACGCGACGUUGUGGCGCCAUAUUCUAGGUGUCACGGCGUCUCAAGCACAGGAUCGCUAGGGCUCAAAGUUUCAGCCUGUUUUGGAGCCCAUGCGAGAAACCUAUUAUUCCCACAUGGUAAGGGACCUAUAAAUACGUUUUUUCUGAGACUUUGAAGGGUUCCAAACAUUCUAGAGGCAGAAACACUUUUUGAGAGAAAGGGAAAGAGAUUCAAAGAGAGAAGAUAACGCCAAAUUCAUCGUGUGAAGCAUAAAUUGGAAGGAGGAAUUCUUGGUACAAGAUCCACAUUUUCUUCUACAUAUUCUUAUUAAAAUUCGGUGAUGUACUCUAAGAUAAUUUGUUGUUGCUCUUCUUUUAUUAUGCAUAGCUAAAUCUAUUGUUAGGACAAAUAAUGUAACCCAUUUGAGAUUUUUUAUAUUUUCUUAUUAAGAUUCUUGGUUUUUAAUUUUUCCAUAUGUUGAUUCUUGCUAUAAAUUGAUUGCAUUAAAUUAUCUGAUCAGUAAUUUGAUGAAUUUUGUGAAUCAUUUACAAAUAGAGAUAUGAGUUUAGGAUUUAGACCAUGUAGUAAAAUCCAGUACAUUGGUAUAACAUGUAAAUAUACUUAUGCCAGUUAUUGUGGCCAUAAUUGAAUUUCUAGGACAAAGUACUUGUUUAACUAAGUUAAAUUUGCAUAGAGAUGUGAAAUUUAAUUAGUUGAAUAGGCUCAAUGAGAACUCGAGAGGGGUAAAUUGAAUGGGAUAGGAGAAUUCGAUCGAGCACUACAAUAGAAUUGAGUCUUAAUUUAAGAUGUAAAGGUGAUUAAUAAAUGAAAUUAUUCUGCCCUAACGUCCUCUAAUUAUUUGAUCUUACAAGUUUUUGGUGUAAGCAUUUAUUUAUUGUCUAGAAUUAAGAUUUAAACUCAAAUUAUUAUAACUUUUAAAUUGUUUUCAUCAAAUAGUGGUUAAAUGAAAAUUAAAUUAAGUGCUAGAAAAUAGUCCUUGUGGGAUCGACGAUCCGGACUCUUAGGUCCACUAUUACUUGUUACGAUUUGUACACUUGCGAAGCUAAAAUAUACAACAAUUGAUGACGGAGCUGUGUUGUGGAAUUAUCUAAGCAAACUUGUAUAGAUCAAUCCACGAUGGAAUGAGAAUUUAUUGCCUUAGAUAAAUCGGAGAAAAAGUGGAACGGCUUUGUAAUUUUCUCGAGGAUAUUCCAUGUUUGUGAAAGCUGGUUUCUGCAAUUAAUAUAUAUCGUGAUAAUCAAUCGGCAAUACCAAGGGCACAAAAUAAUACGUAUAAUGGUAAAUCUCAACAUAUCUAUUGGAGACAUAAUAUCAUUAAACAAUUGAUAUUGAAUUAUAUAAUCUCAAUUAGCUAUGUUAAAUAAAAAGAAAAUAUAGCGGAUCAUUUGACAAAAAGACUACAAGAGAUCAAGUAUACCAUCUUUCGAGGGGAAUGGGCAUGAAGCCCAUUGAAUAGAAUCACCAUAGUGAUAACCCAAUUUUGUAGGUUGAAGAUCCCCAGAUCUUAGUUCAAUGGGAAAACUAAGUUAUGAAAUAUUCGAGGUAAAACACUUUUUCUCAUUCUUAUAGACUUAAAGUGCUAGAAUAAAAAGUGUAUAAAGAUACACGUAUACUUUUAAUGAUUUUAUCUCGGAAGUAGCCAAGAGAUGUAUGAUGCGAUACUAUAGGAGAUCACCUUUGUAAGUGUGAAGUGAGAUAGCUUCUACAAGAAUUUGAGGCUUAAUUUAUCUUAAAGCACUUAUGAAAUCAAAAGUUGUUCAAGAUCAAAAUGAACAAAACCAUGAGAACCGAAGUAGUUAGAUGAGUUAUGAUGUUAAUACAGUUGUUUUGAUAUCCAUGAGUGACUGAACGGUUCAAAAUAUCCAUUCACCAAUUAGCCUAGUAAAUUCGAUUGUAUUCGAUUAAAGAAGGUUCAAAGCCGCCAGCCACCUAUCCUAAUGCUAUACCUUGUCCUGUGUACUCAUUUGUUGUUAGAGUCUGCAUAUUAUUUACAUAUUGUGAAAUUUUAAUUUAUGUGGGGAAUUGUUGGAAAUUGGUUUAAAAGAGAAGUAAAAUGGUUUAGUACGAAACCAUAGAGUGAGAAAAGUCAUUGAGUCAACUUCGGCUAACUAUUCGAAUUUGAUCUGAUAGUCAAAUUAUGAAAAAAAAAUAGAUUAACUUUUCUACUUGUUGAGUUGAUUGUCUUGGUAUAUUUGAAAUCUCAAAAAUAAUUUCGGAUGAAUGAGAAAUUACGAUUCAAAUUGAAAAGAAAAAAAGAAAAACUGGCCGAACAUUUGCCUAACUCUAAUGCUUGACUAAUGCUUGACCAGUGAGUGAGCAGCAAUGACAUCGCUUGAGUGAAAGUCGAGCCCCAGGCGAACGAAAAAGUCCAUGCAUAAAAAACUCUAAUGGCAUUCGAGUAGCGCGCCAGCAGUAUGUGAGCGAUGGACUGGUUUGCAGCCCUUUGUAAAGGCUGGUGAGUUUUAAGGUGUGUCUUUUCACUCAAAACAUCUCUUCUUCUAUCAAUAAAACUUUUGGGGAUGUCCUUUACAAUAUCCCAACCAUAUGCAAUCGUAGCAUAACAUAAAAACCAUAUUUCCUUAGCUUAAAUUCUGCAUAAAAAAAUUUGUUUCAAUUUCAUCCGAAAUAAGUACAAAAGCCAUCUUUUUAGUUCGUUGUUUCUUGUGUGUUGGAGUGCUACAAUUAUAAGAAGGUAAUUGUUAUAUCUUGGAAGUUGAUUGCCAUUAUCCUUGGGCAUCGUUGCGGGGUUUGUUUCAAUUUCAUCUGAAAGAAGUACAAAAGCCAUCUUUUUAGUUCGUUGUUUCUUGUGUGUUGGAGUGCUACAAUUAUAAGAAGGUAAUUGUUAUAUCUUGGAAGUUGAUUGCCAUUAUCCUUGGGCAUCGUUGCGGGGUUUGUUUCAAUUUCAUCUGAAAGAAGUACAAAAGCCAUCUUUUUAGUUCGUUGUUUCUUGUGUGUUGGAGUGCUACAAUUAUAAGAAGGUAAUUGUUAUAUCUUGGAAGUUGAUUGCCAUUAUCCUUGGGCAUCGUUGCGGGGUUUGUUUCAAUUUCAUCUGAAAGAAGUACAAAAGCCAUCUUUUUAGUUCGUUGUUUCUUGUGUGUUGGAGUGCUACAAUUAUAAGAAGGUAAUUGUUAUAUCUUGGAAGUUGAUUGCCAUUAUCCUUGGGCAUCGUUGCGGGGUUUGUUUCAAUUUCAUCUGAAAGAAGUACAAAAGCCAUCUUUUUAGUUCGUUGUUUCUUGUGUGUUGGAGUGCUACAAUUAUAAGAAGGUAAUUGUUAUAUCUUGGAAGUUGAUUGCCAUUAUCCUUGGGCAUCGUUGCGGGGUUUGUUUCAAUUUCAUCUGAAAGAAGUACAAAAGCCAUCUUUUUAGUUCGUUGUUUCUUGUGUGUUGGAGUGCUACAAUUAUAAGAAGGUAAUUGUUAUAUCUUGGAAGUUGAUUGCCAUUAUCCUUAGGCAUCGUUGCGGGGCAAAGUCGAUUUAAGGACAAAGAAUUUAACUCGCACCUCGACUUUGCAUCCAUUUUCUUAGUAUUACUUUGUCCAAUUUCGUUGGCAUUUUAACUUCCAUUUCUUUGGUGUUUAUUACUCAAUUCCUUGCCGUUACUACGUCUAAUUUAGGUAAGGUUGGAAAGUUCACUUUUAAAGAAGUCACUCAAAUUCAUUAUACAAACAAACUUUUGCAUAUCCAUAGUGUCUAGGAUAUUGUUAAUGCAUACAAUUAACAAUAAAAAACUUCAAUAUAAAAGAAAAACUUACAGUUGAGUCUAUUUUUGAAAUAAAUACUUACACAUACUCUUUUAUUAAGAAACCAAUGGUCCUUCAACACUAUGAAAGGAUCUCGAGACCAACUAAAGUAUGAAAUGUAGGCAUCUUCGAGAGAUUAAUUGGUUUCGAUUGAAAGAAACUUUUUUCAAAAUUAGUACAAUAGUAUAAUGUGAAUUCAAUGACAAAUCCUUGUUGAAAUCUCAACCUUCCUUCACCAUUAAGAAUAAAAAUUUUAAAAAUGAUAAAUUAAGUGUGCGUGGUUGGAACAUGGCUUGUUUAAUUAUAAACUAGUUUUUGGUUCAGAAAAGUGGCACCAUCAAGAAUCACAUUUUAGUAUUUUACUUCAAAAUUCAAGAAUAUAAGAUUAUUAUAUUUGAUUAUUCAACUCGUUUCUAAAUUUGAAAGGAGAUGUGCAUUAAUGAAGAAAAAGGGUUUUAAUGUGUAUGAAACUAUUAAACUUUAUAUCAAUUAAUAAUAUACUAUCUCCAUCCCAUAAAAAUAAAUUUAUUCUAUUUUCACGGGAAAAAUUAAUAAAUAUAUGUUAGAACUAUAAAUUUUAUUUACAUUUUUCUACUAUAUAUACCCCUACAUGGAAUAAUGAUAAUUCAUAUUUGUUGAUAAGAAGAUACAUUAAAUAUAAGUAUAUUAGAAAAGAAAAACAUACAUAUCUUUGUGGGACGAAGGAAAUUUGAAAACCUUUAUUCUUAUUCCCUCGCAUGAUCAUUUAUUAGUCAUCACUGACUUGAUUUCAUGUAGAGAAUUCUAAAUUCUAAAAAGGUUACUUUAAUUAAAGUAUCCAUUCUAAAAAUAAAAAAGUAGAUUAUUCAAUUCACUAGGUAUUUAGCCAUUAAUUAUUGAUGAAGAUAAGAUUUAAAUAAAUCUACGAAUUAAUCUCCAACAAUUUAAUCUUAUAGUUAUGAUGGGUAACACAGUAUUCCAACCAAACAUAAUAUCUAUGUUCAAGUAAUGCGGUCAUCUAUUUAUAAAAUUUUCAAAUUUUUGAUAAAAAUUUAAAAUUGUUUUGCUCAUUAAGAUUUAAAGGAAUAUAUUUGAUCAUUGUUUAACUGAUAAAAUUUUUAGACGAGGCAGCUGUGGGUCGUUGAAGCCAAAACUUAGGAUAGUGUAAGUGCAAUAAGUUUAGGUUAUUUUCAUUCAAUUCUCAACCUAUUUCAAUAACCCUGGGUAAGUAGGAAAAAAAAAAAGAAAGGAAAAAAGAGAAAGGGUUUACUGAAGUGGUGGCAGACACGCUUUCAGUAUAUAUAUUUCAGAAAAAUAGUGACUUUAAUAUGGCUAUAAGAAGGCCUGUUCCAUUGAACCAGAAGAAGAUAUACGUAUACCCCAUUUCAGUUAAUCAUGGAUUCAAUAUCUUCUGGUUUUUCUAUCUCUUUGGUUAUUUUUCUGGUGUUUUCUUCUACUGUUUUACAUUUGACAGAAGCAAAGCAAUUAGUGCAGGGACUCUCAUGGAGUUUCUAUGAUUCUUCAUGUCCUACGUUGGAAUCCAUUGUGAGGAAACAGCUGCAAAAGGUUUUUAAGGAUGAUAUUGGUCAAGCGGCUGGCUUGCUUCGACUCCAUUUCCAUGAUUGGUCAAGCGGAGAGGAUUUCUCUCUCUCUCUCUCUCUCUCUCUCUCUCUCUCUCUCUCUCUCUCUCUCUCUCUCUCUUUUCUUAACACACUUUAGCUUAUAGGAUACAACUAUAUAUAAAUAUAUUCUUCAUCUUAAAAUAAGUAAGAUUUUAGAAGAGAUAAUAACUAAAUAUGUUGUUAAAAGUUUAUAAAGAUUUCGAUUCAAGUUUUGUCGAUCAAUAUUUUUGAAAAUGAACUCAUCAUGUAUAUGAUAUAAUGCGCUAAAGCUAAGAAUAAAUAAAUUAUUCAAUGAUUCUUUUCUCAUUAAAAUGAAAAAUAUAACCGUUAUCUAUCACAUCAAGCUAUCAAAUUUGAAUUUUUAUAUCUUGUGUAGGACUCAUAACCACUAUACUUUUCAUUCUCGUGAAAAUCGGGCCCAAACAAGCUCAUAGUUUUGUGAUAAGGUAUUUAUGAUCCUGUAGUGGACCCCGUUGGGCUCAAAUAAAGCACACUUUUAUUUAACUGGCCACAUAUUCUACACUAGUGUAAUUGAUAAUAACAUAUUUCGAUUCUUGGAGACCAAAUCAAAUCGUAAUUUUCAUAGGUCACGUAUAAAAUUUUUUUAUAGCAUAUUAGGAGUCUAAUUGUAGAACAAAUAAUAUUUAAGAUCUGUUCGAUAGUGAUUAUGAAAAUUGAUUUUUUGAACGUUAGAGGGAAAAGUAGAUCUCACAUGUGAGUGAAGAAGUAAAAAAUGACGGUUGAAAUUGUGAAAUUAUGGUAAAAAAAAAAUUUGAUUUUUUUGGAUGAAAUUGCUACCAAAUAGGGGCUUAAGCGAUCAAUUUAAAUAAUAAUAAUAAACGUAAAAUUUGGCAUAAAAUUCAGUGACCCAAGAGAAGAAAUUCUUAAUAUAUGAUUAUGCAUACAGGGGUGUGAUGCUUCAAUUCUUCUAGCCGGAUCGGCGAGCGGGCCCAAUGACCAGGAGGCACCAUCGAAUUUGACCUUGAGGGCUCAGGCUUUUAGAAUCAUCGAUGAUCUCAGCCGUUUCGUUCGUAUGCGCUGAUAUCGUUGCCAUUGCAGCUCGUGAUGCUCUAUUUCUGGUAAAUCUAAUAUCAUGAAUAUUUUUUUCUAAUUUAUUAAAAACAAUUUUGAAUUUUAGAUCACAUGAUUUUCUAUGAAAUAUCGGAUCGAGAUCAAAGUAGUGCUAAAUUGGAUCAAUUUGCUAUGAAGAUGUGAUGCUUCGUUGUAUUAAAACCAUUAAUGAAACAGUCAAAGAGAGACAUCAACAUCAAGACAGCGGAUUAGGCCUUCCACACCCGUUGGUGUAAAAAAAAAAAAAACAAUAAAAAAUAAUUACUAUUAUUAUAAGCAUUUUGUAGCAUUACAUUGACAAAUUCAAUAUUUUUUGAAGUCUAUAAAGUGAAUUCGAUAAGCUUUAACUAAUGUUAUUCAUUAAUAAUGAUUAUGAAUAACCCUGGAUAUUAAGAUUUCUUGCCAAUAGGUCCCCUAGUUAGCCACCGGCAACUAAAUUAAUAAUAAUCACCGAUAAUAAUGAAUAUCAUUAUUUUAUAUUAUAAGAAAAUCUAAAAAUAAUUUUAGGAACGAAGGUACCUUACAAGAAUUUAAAUAUUUCCUUUAUGUUGGACUUAAGGGUAUUAAGGUGGCUCAAGCCCCUAUACUUAGAUUGGAGCUGCGUUGAGUUUAGGUUGACUAUUACUUAGCCAACUUACACUCAAUGCAUAUAGGUCGUGUUGAACCUCUGGGUCUAGAUUGCCCAUCAACUAACCAAUUUACACUUGAUGCAUAGAGGUCGAGUUGAAUCGAGCCUUUUGAGUCUAGGUUGACCAUCACUUAAGCCAACAUGCUAACUAUGAUUCUUUUGACUAUUGCAGUCCGGUGGCCCUAACUAUAGAGUUCCUUUGGGAAGAAGAGAUGGACUCAACUUUGCAACAAGAAAAGAAACAUUGACUAACCUUCCUCCACCAUCAAGCAACACAAGUCCACUUCUUACCUUCCUUGCAACCAAGAAUUUCGACCGCACCGACGUAGUCGCGCUUUCUGGUGGCCACACCAUUGGCCUUGGCCAUUGCACUUCCUUCACUGACAGACUUUAUCCCACACAAGACCCUACAAUGGACCAG